rnacentral:misc_RNA from 1 species
UGUGGGAGCGGGCUUGCUCGCGAUUCAGGCACCGCGAUCUGCCUGAAUGAUCGCGCUGAUGCUAUCGCGAGCAAGCCCGCUCCCACA